GAACAGGCUAGUGGGAAUCAGUACAAUGCUACAGAAGGCAGUGUAACAAAGACCAUUUGAAUAAACUGAAGAUAAACUCUCUAGAAGAUGAGAGGCUGUGGAAUAUGCAGGGGUAUGAUCAUCUCCCAGAUGAAAGAAGAAAAAAACCUAUUUUGCUCUCCUUUUCUACUGGACUGAACCAAAAGGAAUGGCAGCAGCUCAUACUCCAGCACCAAACCUGGCACAGAAGAACUUAAAGUCCACAGAAAAAACAACAGUACCUCCUUCCUGCACAACAUCACUCCAGGAGGAAGACCCUUGCCAGAUAAAAGGCAUUAGAGAAACUACAGCUGCACAAAAAAUGGGUGGCAGAAGAAGGCUCUUUUGAAGAGAAGCUGCAGGGGACAACAAGAGGUAAGAAGACCCUGAAGAGAACUACUCCCACAGUCUUUUACAACAUUAUAGACUGUUAAGCUUAAUAAUAUUAAGUUUUAAUUUAUGCUCAAACACAAAGAAAUUUAGAAGAGAAUAUAAAACAUUUGUAAUAUUCAUGAAGAAUUAAUGAAAACACUUUUUGGAAAUUUUAUGGUUUGUUUGUGUAACUUAUGCCUCUCAAAACUAGAGUGAGUAACAGGAAAUCAGUCAGCUCUGGACUCAGUUAUUUCCUUAAUGCCUUAACACCUUUGAAGUUCCUCUCCUAGUGCCACCUUUCUUUUUCCAGUAAAACUGAUGGUCUGUACUGUUUAACAAAAGAAAAACAAAACAAAUUCAACAAAUUUGAAGCACAAAAACUUGUAAUCUCAGUAUAAAAUUUUAAAUAAGUAAAAAGACUUAUUGCCUGUAAGGCUUUUUUUUUUUUACCUAAUAGCAACAAAAGCUCAG
rnacentral:lncRNA from 1 species